UGAUUGAGAAGAAUAUUGGGGGGAAUAUUUCAGAUUGAUAUUCACUACCCUUUGCUCUGUAGUCAUUUAAAAUGCACUUGUGACCGGGAGUUAUGUGCAGAACUUACCGGAGCAGAUAACACCUGCAUCUUCUUUGUGCCUGCAGUUAUGGCGUCCCCAGCCAUGUGAAUGGCACUGCCAAAUAUGAGACUCUUUCCCAGUGCAGAUGACUUCGUCUAGCCAGAUAGCUCCUGCUCCUUCCCCGAAGUAAGCAGAGCCAGUGGCGUUAAUUGCCACGCCACAGUCCAGCUGCUUGCACACCACAUUGGCAUCAGUCAUAUCCCAAUUGUCAUCACAGACGGUGCCCCAAGAGCCCUCGUGGUAGACCUCCACUCUUCCAGCGCAGCGACCACCUCCACCUACCAAGCGAAGCUGGCCACUUGCUGGGAAGAGAAAUGAAGAUAAGAAAUUAUGCCAGAUAAUGUAUUCUGGCAAGGUUUGAGGUCAAUUUCAGAGGUCAAUCACAGAUUCUCACCUAUGCAGGGAACUUCACUCUCCUUUGGAAUUGUAGAGCUUGUUGUUUGGACUGGAGACAAUGAACUACAUGGCAAUAGUGUCUGGGAUUGGUUUCCUAAAAACAGCCAAAGUUUCAGGGAUAUUAGAUACAAAGGGUGAAGAAUGAGGACUGGACGGAGAGUUCUGUAGGCUCAUCGGAUUCUAAAGCACUGUGGAGAGGCUCAUCACUGGCUCUGCCCUUCAUCCUCUCACCUGAGCAGAUGACAGAGGCCACCUGUCCUUCGGAACACGUCGGCGCACCCAGAGCAGUCAUGAGGCAAUCUCCUAUAUGUUCCUCAGUUCCAGUGCAGUGGAACAUGUGACUCCAGACCUGACCAGCUCCUUUCCCAAAAUGUGCUCCUUCUGGAAUAGAUUGGGCAACCCCACACUUCAGCUGCUGACAUAAGACAUGAGCAUCUUCCAUGUCCCAAUGAGAACUGCAGAGGGGACCCCAGGCUCCGAGUGUCUUGAGCUCCACUCUUCCCUCACAGGAGGACUCGCCGCCUGCCAGACGAAUAUCUAUGUAUCCUAAAAGGAGACCGGGAUUUAGAAAAGACAUCCGUGACUCUCUAACCCUCUUUCAGAGCCUAGGAGCAAAUUGAAAAUAUUUUCUUUGUCUUACGUGAGCAGACUACGCUGACAUCCCUGCUGUGGGUACAAGUUCUGUCUAGCGGGGGCGCCACUGAGCAUAGUGAAAGAUGGGACUCAUCCCCACUACACUGGAAUUCUUCACCCCAGAUCUGUCCACUUCCUUCUCCAAAAUGUGCUCCCCCUAGGAUAGAGACGACUGUUCCACAUUGUAAUUCCCUGCACACCACACUGGCAGCUUCCAGAGACAAGUCAAAAUCACAGACGGAGCCCCACACGUCUCCGUGUUUCACUUCCACACGACCAGAGCAUGGGAUUUCUCCUCCAACCAGUCUGGGUUCCCUGUGGCCUGAAAAAUAAUAAUAUUUCCGUGAGAGGUACAAUUUCCACAUUUUUCACUCAUGGUGGGACUAGGAGCCAGGGUUCUCUGCAGUUUCACCCUGUACCUCCUGGAUUUUCUGUCUAGACUGAGCAUAGAAAAUUGUGGCUCUAGAACCUUUCAUUGGGCUUGUCCUUCUAAGAAAAUUCUAGCGCUUUGGAUUUUGAAGAAAAGCAAGAUCAGAACUUCUCUUUUCUUUUAGUACUUCACUUGCAUUUAUUCAUACAACACAAUUUGUUCACAGUUUGGGCUCUGUCAGCCAGCUCGGCACUUGUUCCAGUCUGAAGUCUACAGUAGCUUUAUCAACAUCUGCAUAUAG
rnacentral:lncRNA from 1 species